AUUGAACGCUGGCGGCAGGCCUAACACAUGCAAGUCGAGCGAGAGGAGGACGGGUGAGUAAUGUAUGGGGAUCUGCCCGAUAGAGGGGGAUAACUACUGGAAACGGUGGCUAAUACCGCAUACUAUCGGUUGAACCCAUAUGGGAUUGUCUAGUAGGUGGGGUAAAGGCUCACCAAGGCGACGAUCUCUAGCUGGGCUGAGAGGAUGAGCAGCAACAUUGGGACGUAGAACCGGCCCAGACGCCUACGGGAGGCAGCAGUAGGGAAUAGUUCACAAUGGGCGCAAGUCUGAUUCAGCCAGGCCGCGUGUGUGAAGAAGGCCUUCGGGUUGUAAAGUACUUUCAGCGAGGAGGCGUUACUCGCAGAAGAAGCACCGGCUAACUACGUGCCAGCAGCCGCGGUAAUAC
rnacentral:rRNA from 1 species